rnacentral:rRNA from 1 species
AGACAAGUUGACAAGAGCAUCGGGUGGAUGCCUUGGCGUCGGAAGGCGAUGAAAGACGUGGUAAGCUGCGAAAAGCCUCGGGGAGAAGCUAAACAUUCUGUGAUCCGGGGAUGUCUGAAUGGGGAAACCCGGCGGAGGUCAUGCUCCGUCGCGGGCACUUGAAUACAUAAAGUGUCCAGCGCUAACUCAGGGAAGUGAAACAUCUCAGUACCUGAAGGAAAAGAAAUCAAACGAGACUCCCAAAGUAGCGGCGAGCGAAAUGGGACGAGCCCAAACCGGCUGGAUUCGUUCAGCCGGGGUUGUAGGGCCGGCAUAUGUGAUUCAUGAGUAGGCAGGGGAAAUGAGCUGGAAAGCUCUGCCGGAGCGGGUGACAGCCCCGUACCUGAAACCGAAAGCGACACAGCCGGUACCUGAGUACCGCGAGACACGUGGAACCUCGUGGGAAUCCGGGAGGACCAUCUUCCAAGGCUAAGUACUAACCGACGACCGAUAGUGUACCAGUACCGUGAGGGAAAGGUGAAAAGAACCUCUGUCAGAGGAGUGAAAGAGAAUCUGAAACCUGGUGCUUACAAGCUGUGAGAGCGGACUUGUUCCGUGAUCACGUGCCUUUUGCAUAAUGAGUCAGCGAGUUAAUCUGUACUGCAAGGUUAAGCGUGAGUGGAGCCGUAGGGAAACCGAGUCUGACAAGGGCGACGAGUAGUGCGGAUUAGACCCGAAACCGGGUGAUCUAUCCAUGAGCAGGUUGAAGCAAGGGUAAAACCUUGUGGAGGACCGAACCAAUACCGGCUGAAAACGGUUUGGAUGACUUGUGGAUAGGGGUGAAAGGCCAAUCAAACCCGGUGAUAGCUGGUUCUCCCCGAAAUAUAUUGAGGUAUAGCCUCAUGGAUUGUCUGCCGGAGGUAAAGCACUGACAGGGCUAGGGGUCCUACCAGAUUACCAAACCCUAUCAAACUCAGAAUGCCGGUCAGAUGUACCAUGGGAGUCAGACGGCGGGUGCUAAGGUCCGUCGUCGAGAGGGUAAGAGCCCAGAUCAACAGCUAAGGUCUCCAAAUCCAUGCUCAGUGGUUAAGGUGGUGACGUUGUAGAGACACCCAGGACGUUGGCUUAGAAGCAGCCAUCGUUUAAAGAAAGCGUAAUAGCUCACUGGUCUAAUGACGUUGCGCCGAAAAUGUAACGGGGCUAAGCAUGGUACCGAAGCUUUGAAUUCCGCGUAAGCGGUCUGGUAGGGGAGCGUUCUUCACGGGCAGAAGGUGUGUCGCAAGGCAUGCUGGACUGUGGAGAAGUGAUUAUGCUGACAUGAGUAACGAUAAAACGGGUGAAAAACCCGUUCGCCGUAAACCCAAGGUUUUCCGGGUAAAGGUAAUCUUCCCGGAGUUAGUCGGCCCCUAAGGCGAGGCUGAAAGGCGUAGCUGAUGGGAAACGUGUUAAUAUUCACGUACUUGUGUGUUCGCGCGAUGAAGGGACGCAGGAAGAUAGGCAAGCCGGGCGCUGGUUGUCCCGGUGCAAGCGUGUAGGGAUGAGGAGCUGGCAAAUCCGCUUCUCUCUAUCCUGAGACGCGAGUCCGUGCCCGCAAGGGCUGAAGUUGUCGAGUCUAUGCUGCCUAGAAAAGCUUCUAAGUAUAGGACACGCAAACCGUACCGGAAACCAACUCAGGUGGGUGGGAUGAAUAAUCCAAGGCGCUCGAGAGAACUCUGGCCAAGGAACUCGGCAAAAUAACCCCGUACCUUCGGAAGAAGGGGUGCUUUUUAGGGUGAAGCGAUUCACUCUGUCGAGCCCUGAAAAGCCGCAGAGAAAUGGUGGUGGCGACUGUUUACUAAAAACAUAGGUCUGUGCCAAGUCGUAUAGACGACGUAUACGGACUGACGCCUGCCCGGUGCUGGAAGGUUAAAAGGAGGAGUCAGCGCAAGCGAAGCUCCGAAUUGAAGCCCCAGUAAACGGCGGCCGUAACUAUAACGGUCCUAAGGUAGCGAAAUUCCUUGUCGGGUAAGUUCCGACCUGCACGAAUGGCGUAACGAUCUCCACACUGUCUCGGCCAGAGACUCGGUGAAAUUGAAGUCGCGGUGAAAAUGCCGUGUACCCGCAGAAAGACGGAAAGACCCUGUGCACCUUUACUAUAGCUUGACAUUGGGAUUUGAGCCUGCAUGUGUAGCAUAGGUGGGAGGCUGUGAACUCUGUACGCCAGUAUGGAGGGAGCCAUCGUUGAAAUACCACCCUUGUUUGUUCAGGUCCCUAACUCCUUGCCGUUAUCCGGUAGGAGGACAGUGUCUGGUGGGUAGUUUGACUGGGGCGGUCGCCUCCCAAAAUGUAACGGAGGCAUGCAAAGGUUCCCUCAGGCUGAUUGGAAACCAGCCGUCGAGUGCAAACGCAGAAGGGAGCUUGACUGCAAGAGAGACAUCUCGAGCAGGUACGAAAGUAGGUGUUAGUGAUCCGGUGAUCCCGAAUGGAAGGGUCAUCGCUCAUUGGAUAAAAGGUACGCCGGGGAUAACAGGCUGAUCGCAUCCAAGAGUUCACAUCGACGAUGCGGUUUGGCACCUCGAUGUCGGCUCAUCACAUCCUGGGGCUGAAGCAGGUCCCAAGGGUACGGCUGUUCGCCGUUUAAAGUGGUACGCGAGCUGGGUUUAAAACGUCGUGAGACAGUUUGGUCCCUAUCUUCUGUGGGCGUAGGAGAAUUGAAAGGGCCUGUCCCUAGUACGAGAGGACCGGGAUGGACACACCACUGGUGGACCUGUUGUCGUGCCAACGGCACAGCAGGGUAGCUAUGUGUGGAAGGGAUAACCGCUGAAAGCAUCUAAGCGGGAAGCCUGCCUUAAGAUAAGUUCUCCCUGACGCAAGUCCUGAAGGGCCGAGGUAGACGACCUCGUCGAUAGGCUGGAGGUGGAAGCCCUGUGAGGGGUGGAGCUGACCAGUACUAAUAGCCCGUGCGUCUUGUUUCUCGAAAAAAC